AACAGAGGGUGCAAACGUUGUUCGGAUUUACUGGGCGUAAAGCGCGUGUAGGCGGCUUGGCAAGUCGGAUGUGAAAGCCCACGGCUCAACCGUGGAAGCGCAUCCGAAACGGCCUCGCUUGAGUCUCGGAGAGGAAGGUGGAAUGCUUGGUGUAGAGGUGAAAUUCGUAGAUAUCAAGCAGAACACCUGCGGCGAAGGCGGCCUUCUGGACGAUGACUGACGCUGAGACGCGAAAGCGUGGGGAGCAAACAGG
rnacentral:rRNA from 1 species